GAGCUUGAGCUUUGUGUUGACCAAAUUAGAGCUUAUCUAUGAUGCUAUUAGUGUAGAAUAGGUAGAGACACCACCUUGCACCAUCAAUUAGGUGAUAUAGCUUGAUUUUAAUGGAGAUUAAUUAUAGUUUCAUGUAUGGAGAGAAAAGGCAUUCUAGAUCUAGGGUUUCCUUUUUUUGUUUUUGUUUCAUAAAAUUGGAAUGUGGUUGGCAUGAAUAGUUAUUGGUAAACUAAUAGUUGUUGCU
rnacentral:lncRNA from 1 species